CGAGCUUAAUAAAAUGCCCAUAAAUUGGAAUCCCUUUGAAUGGACAACUAGCAAUAUCUUUCUUGUUCUCCCGUCUAGACCGCAGAAACAGGGCGAGAAGAGCAAUAGAUGGAGAGAAUAUAGAACAACCGUUUCUCUCUCUCUCUCUCUCUCCUCUCCUGUUCGUCGUCGAUAAUCGCGAACUCUUCCAUCGAAGGAGCUGAGAGAGCAAAGCAGCAGCCAUGGACGCCGACGGCCAUAUGACAGCAAAGGGGCAGGAACAAAAUCAAACCAUUUACCACCAAUCCAUCAACAAACCAGUAGAAGACCCCAUGUUACGAGUUCCGACAGAGAAACCCCCCUUCACCCUCAGCCAAAUUAAAAAAGCAGUUCCACCCCAUUGCUUCAACCGCUCCACUCUUCGCUCCUUCUCCUACAUCCUUCACGACCUCCUUAUUUCUACCGUCCUUUUCUACCUCGCCUUCACCCUCCUCCCCACUCUCCCCUCCCCUUACUCACUACUCGCCUGGCCCCUCUACUGGUUCGCUCAAGGCUGCAUCCUCACUGGCCUUUGGGUCAUCGCCCAUGAAUGCGGCCACCAUGCCUUCUCUGACUCCUCACUCCUCGACAACACGGUUGGCCUGAUUCUCCACUCCCUACUCCUCGUCCCCUACUUCUCCUGGAAAUACUCCCACAGCCGGCAUCAUUCCAACACCGGAUCUCUCGAUCGCGACGAGGUCUUCGUCCCCAAAACCCGAUCAUCUCUCCCCUGGUACUAUCCUUACCUCAAGAAUCCCCUCGCCCGCCUCCUUACCCUCGCCUUCACAGUCACCCUUGGCUGGCCACUCUACCUCAUCUUAAAUGUCUCCGGACGCCCUUACCCUCGCUUCGCCUGCCAUUACGAUCCAUAUUCUCCCAUCUACAAUGCCCGCGAACGCGCACAAAUCUUCCUCUCCGACGCUGGCGUCCUCGCUGUCUUCUAUCUUCUCUACCGCCUCUCCUCUGCACUGUCACUUUUAUGGGUCAUUCGGCUCUACGGCGUUCCUCUUCUAAUCGUGAAUGCAUGGCUUGUGAUCAUCACUUACUUGCAGCAUACUCACCCCGCUCUUCCGCACUACGACUCGAAAGAGUGGGAUUGGCUUCGCGGUGCAUUGGCUACGGUCGACCGCGACUAUGGCUUUCUCAAUCGCGUGUUUCAUAACAUUACUGAUACACAUGUGGCGCAUCAUCUUUUCUCGACCAUGCCGCAUUACCACGCUAUGGAGGCGACGAAGGCUAUUCGGCCAUUACUGGGUGUUUAUUACCGGUACGAUGACACGCCGGUUCUAAAGGCAAUGUGGAGGGAGGCGAGAGAGUGCAUUUAUGUGGAGGCUGAGGGGACGGAGAAGCGGAGCGGGGUAUUCUGGUACAGCAACAAGCUAUGAUCAGGGAUGGGAGAUAUGAUGUAGAAUGAAGGGUCAGAAAUGGUUGGUGAGGAUUAAUGCUGUUGGCUUCGGCUUGGUUGGUGAGGGAACCAGAAUUUAAAUGAAGGCAGCUGACAUUGUUAAAGGUUUCUCGAGUAAGAACGUUGAUGGAAAAGGCGCUCAACUGGUUCCUGGAUUUGGUGGACACAUUGCCACUUGUCCUAGUAAGAAUGAUAAAAUUGAAAUUAGGGUGGUGACUACGGUGAUUAAGAUGCCUUUGUGAUGAUUAGCGGCAUUGGGAUGGCCACCAUUGAGAGCGCAGGUCCUUUCUUAGGGGCUGCCAUGACAAUGGAUGAAGAUGAAAAUCCUCUAUUGUAGUGAAUGCUGAGGUUGGUCCCAUUGGGGAGGCCAUGAGUGUGAAACUACCACUUCCGUGUGCUGUUAAG